rnacentral:rRNA from 1 species
GACGAACGCUGGCGGCGUGCUUAACACAUGCAAGUCGAACGCUGAAGCUCAGCUUUUGUUGGGUGGAUGAGUGGCGAACAGGUGAGUAACACGUGAGUAACCUGCCCCCUUCUUUGGGAUAACGCCCGGAAACGGGUGCUAAUACUGGAUAUUCACUGGUCUUCGCAUGGGGGUUGGUGGAAAGGGUUUUUCUGGUGGGGGAUGGGCUCGCGGCCUAUCAGCUUGUUGGUGGGGUGAUGGCCUACCAAGGCUUUGACGGGUAGCCGGCCUGAGAGGGUGACCGGUCACAUUGGGACUGAGAUACGGCCCAGACUCCUACGGGAGGCAGCAGUGGGGAAUAUUGCACAAUGGGCGCAAGCCUGAUGCAGCGACGCCGCGUGAGGGAUGGAGGCCUUCGGGUUGUGAACCUCUUUCGCUCAUGGUCAAGCCGCAACAAUGGUUGUGGUGAGGGUAGUGGGUAAAGAAGCGCCGGCUAACUACGUG